CUCUUGGCUUGAGAUCAGCAGUUAUGCUAAUGAUUGAGUCCAUUUAGAGAACACAACAAAAGGUAGUUUGCUAGCCAUAGAAUCUAUGAUACGUUCGGUUUAUUAUGGGAAUUGAAAUUGGAAUUAGAAUUGAAAUAGAUUGAAAUGAAAAUCAGAAUGACCAUACCCCCAAAGCAAUUGGUUCAUGUUCAGAACCAAAAUCAGAAUGGAUGAUUUUCAUUGUUGUUGUUUGGUAUACACAA
rnacentral:lncRNA from 1 species